rnacentral:rRNA from 1 species
GAAUAUUGGGCAAUGGGCGCAAGCCUGACCCAGCAACGCCGCGUGGAUGAUGAAGGCCUUCGGGUUGUAAAAUCCUUUUCUGAGGGAAGAUAAUGACGGUACCUCAGGAAUAAGCUCCGGCUAACUACGUGCCAGCAGCCGCGGUAAAACGUAGGGGGCGAGCGUUAUCCGGAUUUAUUGGGCGUAAAGCGCGCGUAGGUGGCAUUGCAAGUUAGUCGUGAAAGCUCCCGGCUUAACUGGGAGAGGUCGUCUAAGACUGCAAUGCUUGAGGUUGGAAGAGGAGAGUGGAAUCCCCGGUGUAGUGGUGGAAUGCGUAGAUAUCGGGGGGAACACCAGUGGCGAAGGCGACUCUCUGGUCCACACCUGACGCUGAGGUGCGAAAGCGUGGGGAGCGAACGGG